CUACGAAGGGGGCCAGCGUUGUUCGGAAUCACUGGGCGUAAAGCGCGCGUAGGUGGAUCAAUUAGUUGAGGGUGAAAUCCCGGGGCUCAACCUCGGAACUGCCUUCAAUACUGUUGAUCUUGAGACCGAGAGAGGUGAGUGGAAUUCCUAGUGUAGAGGUGAAAUUCGUAGAUAUUAGGAAGAACACCAGUGGCGAAGGCGGCUCACUGGCUCGGUACUGACGCUGAGGUGCGAAAGCGUGGGGAGCAAACAGGAUUAGAUACCCUAGUAGUCC
rnacentral:rRNA from 1 species